GUGAAUCAUCGAAUUUUUGAACGCAAAUUGCACUCUCUGGUAUUCCGGAGAGUAUGCCUGUUUGAGGGUCAGUUUAAAUAAAAAUCGGUGUGGUUGCUGCCUUUCGUGGUGACGCACCGGAUUUGGGUCGCCUUGCCUUCGGUUAAGUGACCUAAAAUUUUGCAUGAUUUUUUUCGGACGUUAUUAAAUUAAUUUAACUACCUUUUGGAUUUUGAA
rnacentral:misc_RNA from 1 species